rnacentral:rRNA from 1 species
AACACGGGAAACCUCACCCGGCCCGGACACGGACAGGAUUGACAGAUUGAUAGCUCUUUCUCGAUUCCGUGGGUGGUGGUGCAUGGCCGUUCUUAGUUGGUGGAGCGAUUUGUCUGGUUAAUUCCGAUAACGAACGAGACUCUGGCAUGCUAACUAGUUACGCGACCCCCGAGCGGUCGGCGUCCCCCAACUUCUUAGAGGGACAAGUGGCGUUCAGCCACCCGAGAUUGAGCAAUAACAGGUCUGUGAUGCCCUUAGAUGUCCGGGGCUGCACGCGCGCUACACUGACUGGCUCAGCGUGUGCCUACCCUACGCCGGCAGGCGCGGGUAACCCGUUGAACCCCAUUCGUGAUGGGGAUCGGGGAUUGCAAUUAUUCCCCAUGAACGAGGAAUUCCCAGUAAGUGCGGGUCAUAAGCUUGCGUUGAUUAAGUCCCUGCCCUUUGUACACACCGCCCGUCGCUACUACCGAUUGGAUGGUUUAGUGAGGCCCUCGGAUCGGCCCCGCCGGGGUCGGCCCACGGCCCUGGCGGAGCGCUGAGAAGACGGUCGAACUUGACUAUCUAGAGGAAGUAAAAGUCGUAACAAGG